rnacentral:rRNA from 1 species
UACGUAGGGUGCAAGCGUUGUCCGGAAUUAUUGGGCGUAAAGAGCUCGUAGGCGGUCUGUCACGUCGGCUGUGAAAACCCGGGGCUCAACCCCGGGCCUGCAGUCGAUACGGGCAGACUAGAGUGCGGUAGGGGAGACGGGAAUUCCUGGUGUAGCGGUGAAAUGCGCAGAUAUCAGGAGGAACACCGGUGGCGAAGGCGGGUCUCUGGGCCGUAACUGACGCUGAGGAGCGAAAGCGUGGGGAGCGAACAGG